CUUCGCUGGUGGCGUACUUCCCAAUCAAGGGUCGAGUAAUCACGCAUACCUGUCAUCUGACACUGCAGAUUCCCUAGGCCCGCUCAUUACAGCGGGCUUUUUUAU
rfam:Serratia fonticola strain DSM 4576, complete genome.